AUGAGCUAUGAGGAUAACAUUUACCUCUUCUUUACCUUUGAUCAUGCCAAUCAGUUCAUCGAUUUUUUGGCGGUUAGUGCUUCAUUCUCCUCUUCAGAGAUGGAGUUCACCUUCUUCGUGGUAGACCUUUCAAAGGGAAAGAAGAGGGAGUGUGUGGCAGCAUCCAAAAAAAGGAAAAAAAUGCUUGAUCUCAAUAAGUUGCCUCCUGAUCUCAAUGAGCUUCCUCAUGAUAUGGAUCAGCAGCAACCCAGCAUACAACAAGGAAAAUGGACAGAAAAUGGUCGAUCUGUUUACUACACGCAGGCAAGUCAUGAUGGUAACCUUAUGGGCCAUGACAAUGUGGCAGGCCAGUCAUCAGAUCGUGGUGCCCCUGUAGUGGUGUCUUUGCAGUCAGAGAGCCAUACUCUUGAUGACACGGGAACCGAGGUAAAUGUUCCUGGUCCAACCAGGACCGAGCUAGGAGCUGGGGCUGUUGACGGAGCUGUGCAAAGAGAAGAAGGAGAGGAUGAGGCUGGUUCUUAA
rnacentral:rRNA from 1 species